rnacentral:rRNA from 1 species
GUAACACGUAUCCAACCUGCCGUCUACUCUUGGACAGCCUUCUGAAAGGAAGAUUAAUACAAGAUGGCAUCAUGAGUCCGCAUGUUCACAUGAUUAAAGGUAUUCCGGUAGACGAUGGGGAUGCGUUCCAUUAGAUAGUAGGCGGGGUAACGGCCCACCUAGUCUUCGAUGGAUAGGGGUUCUGAGAGGAAGGUCCCCCACAUUGGAACUGAGACACGGUCCAA